rnacentral:rRNA from 1 species
GAUGAACUCUGGCGGCGUGCCUAAUACAUGCAAGUCGAGCGAACGGACGAGAAGCUUGCUUCUCUGAUGUUAGCGGCGGACGGGUGAGUAACACGUGGAUAACCUACCUAUAAGACUGGGAUAACUUCGGGAAACCGGAGCUAAUACCGGAUAAUAUUUUGAACCGCAUGGUUCAAAAGUGAAAGACGGUCUUGCUGUCACUUAUAGCUGGAUCCGCGCUGCAUUAGCUAGUUGGUAAGGUAACGGCUUACCAAGGCAACGAUGCAUAGCCGACCUGAGAGGGUGAUCGGCCACACUGGAACGGGGACACGGUCCAGACUCCUACGGGAGGCAGCAGUAGGGAAUCUUCCGCAAUGGGCGAAAGCAUGACGGAGCAACGCCGCGUGAGUGAUGAAGGUCUUCGGAGCGUAAAACUCUGUUAUUAGGGAAGAACAUAUGUGUAAGUAACUGUGCACAUCUUGACGGUACCUAAUCAGAAAGCCACGGCUAACUACGUG